AGCAGCCGCCGCGGGAAUACGGAGGGUGCAAGCGUUAAUCGGAAUUACUGGGCGUAAAGCGCACGCAGGCGGUCUGACAAGUCAGAUGUGAAAUCCCCGGGCUUAACCUGGGAACUGCAUUUGAAACUGUCAGGCUGGAGUCUUGUAGAGGGGGGUGGAAUUCCAGGUGUAGCGGUGAAAUGCGUAGAGAUCUGGAGGAAUACCGGUGGCGAAGGCGGCCCCCUGGACAAAGACUGACGCUCAGGUGCGAAAGCGUGGGGAGCAAACAGGAUUAGAUACCCGCGUAGUCCCUGUCUCUUAUAC
rnacentral:rRNA from 1 species